GUCAAUGUGGCAUAGUAGUUUGCAUGUUGGACUACAACUCUGGAGACCCGGGUUCAAUUCCCCUUUGGCU